UGGGGGGGAGGCCUUAAAACAUGACAAGUCGAACGGUAACAGGAAGCAGCUUGCUGCUUUGCUGACGAGUGGCGGACGGGUGAGUAAUGUCUGGGAAACUGCCUGAUGGAGGGGGAUAACUACUGGAAACGGUGGCUAAUACCGCAAAACGUCGCAAGACCAAAGAGGGGGACCUUCGGGCCUCUUGCCAUCAGAUGUGCCCAGAUGGGAUUAGCUUGUUGGUGAGGUAACGGCUCACCAAGGCGACGAUCCCUAGCUGGUCUGAGAGGAUGACCAGCCACACUGGAACUGAGACACGGUCCAGACUCCUACGGGAGGCAGCAGUGGGGAAUAUUGCACAAUGGGCGCAAGCCUGAUGCAGCCAUGCCGCGUGUAUGAAGAAGGCCUUCGGGUUGUAAAGUACUUUCAGCGGGGAGGAAGGUGUUGUGGUUAAUAACCGCAGCAAUUGACGUUACCCGCAGAAGAAGCACCGGCUAACUCCGUGCCAGCAGCCGCGGUAAUACGGAGGGUGCAAGCGUUAAUCGGAAUUACUGGGCGUAAAGCGCACGCAGGCGGUCUGUCAAGUCGGAUGUGAAAUCCCCGGGCUCAACCUGGGAACUGCAUUCGAAACUGGCAGGCUUGAGUCUUGUAGAGGGGGGUAGAAUUCCAGGUGUAGCGGUGAAAUGCGUAGAGAUCUGGAGGAAUACCGGUGGCGAAGGCGGCCCCCUGGACAAAGACUGACGCUCAGGUGCGAAAGCGUGGGGAGCAAACAGGAUUAGAUACCCUGGUAGUCCACGCCGUAAACGAUGUCUACUUGGAGGUUGUGCCCUUGAGGCGUGGCUUCCGGAGCUAACGCGUUAAGUAGACCGCCUGGGGGAGUACGGCCGCAAGUUAAAACUCAAAUGAAUUGACGGGGCCCGCACAAGCGGUGGAGCAUGUGGUUUAAUUCGAUGCAACGCGAAGAACCCUUACCUGGUCUUGACAUCCACAGAACUUUCCAGAGAUGGAUGGGUGCCCUUCGGGAACUGUGAGAACAGUGCUGCAUGGCUGUCGUCAGCUCGUGUUGUGAAAUGUGGAUAGUCCCGCAACGAGCGCACCUUAUCCUUUGUGCAGCCGUUCCGCCGGACUCAGAGACUGCAUGCAUAACUGAGAGGUGGGAUGACGUCAAGUCAUCAUGCCUUACGAACC
rnacentral:rRNA from 1 species